rnacentral:rRNA from 1 species
GACCCGGGGCGUCAACCUCGGAAUAGCAUUUGAAACUAGGCAGACUAGAGUACUGUAGAGGGGGGUAGGAAUUUCAGGUGUAGCGGUGAAAUGCGUAGAGAUCUGAAGGAAUAACCGGUGGCGAAGGCGGCCCCCUCGGACAGAUACUGACACUCAGAUGCGAAAGCGUGGGGAGCAAACAGGAUUAGAUACCCUGGUAG